rnacentral:lncRNA from 1 species
UAGGCAGGUAAUAAAAAAUCCCAAAUAUGCUUAAAAAUAUGUGCACAAGCCCUUCUGUUUAUGUAUGAAUCUCCACACUGCAAAUUUUUUUUCUUCUUUCACUUCCCCUGGUUAUUAAUUAUGGACAAUUAUGUAAUGAGUCAUCACAGCCAGAAAAUUUAUUUAUUUUUUGAUAGACAAAAAAAAUUCAUAUUAAAGGCGCCUGACAAAAGGUGGUGCACUCCAUGUACACUGGGGUAUACAAGAAGCACCAAAAAAGAAGCCGCUCCAAAUCCACAAUGGAGACAUAGUUGUCAAAGGCAUGCUAAAAGCAGGUCUAGGCUCAAGGCACAACCACUCCAUAGUUAUAGCACCUCACCUACCAAAGUAUGCCUUAUCUAUUUUCUUUUUUAAAAAAAAAAAUUAAAUUAAAUUAAAUAUAUAUAUUAUUCUUGAAAUUUCUGAUAGUAAAUUGGAAUUUUAUAUAAUUUCAUUAGUUUUUUGUUAGAUGAUUCUUUCAAACGUUUGGAAUUUUGGAUUUAAUUGAAUCUAAGUCAUAUUGUAUAAAAUUAACAUGCAUCCUAGGUUGUGCUUCACUUUGUUCAGGUGUGCGCUUGGGUGCUGCACUUUGUGCCUGAGCCUUGGACGACUUUUGCGUCUUAAGUGCACCUUGUGCCUUUGGCAGCAUCUCUCCUUUAGCUCUCACGCCCAUAUGUUCACCUUCUUGCUUUCCUGCCCCCAUUAUUAUGUUAAAGGGGAAAGGGCUCUUCUCAGUUCUCAGUUCUCAGUCUCCUUGUUUUACGAAUGAGGAACUGGAAGGUGGCAGGCAUUUUUCCCAGGGUCAGUCAUCCACUAUGAAUGAGCAGGCAUUUUUACUAGGUCAUAAUGAAUGGUAUACUAUUAGGCACUAUGACUGAAAAUUAUCUACAGAGCCCAAUGGUGUACAAUUAGGCAACCCUGUAGGGACCCUAAUGGCCAUACCACUACAAAAGGGUCAUAACGAAGUCUUUGAUCUGAUGUCUCUUCCUCAUAAGAGGUUAGGUUGUUACAUCCCUCCUAAUGCACCAAAAUAAACAAAUCAGGGAUCUGAUGUCUCUUCCUCGAUAAAGAUUGGGUUGUUACAUCCCUCCUAAUGCACCAAAAAAUAAGCAAAGUGGGGCUAUUCCUCCAACCUCUAUAAACAGAGAGCUAUCACCAUUUAUAAACAUAACACCAAGGACCUUUAUUGAUUUACAAAGGACUCCAUCACAUAAACAAAUAACAGCAAUUCACAAUGCAUUCCAAUGCACCCCUAAAAUCAAGUCAACAAAGACACAGCCCCAGCCCUAGCCCUAACCCUAACCCUAACCCUAGCCCUUGAUUUUGGUUCUAGAGAAGAAUUGAGAGGACCAAAACGUAAAACAACCACCUCUUACAGUACUUGGAAGAAAGGAACUGAAUCAAUUGUGAAAAGGCACAACAUACAUAUAAUAUGCAGUUAAGAUAUGGCAAGAGGGAUUUCCAGCAACAGAUCCAAUAAUUAAAUACGAUAACUCAAACAAAAUUUAUAUAACAAAAGAUUCAAAGAAAUCGAAUUCGAACAAAACCAAAAAUAAAUAAACAAAAAUGUAAAUUGUAAGACGUACCUUUGAAUUUAGAAGUGAGGAAGUUAUAGCCAGUAGAGUAGAGAGAGAAAGGAGCGGGAAGAAAGAGAAAGGAGUGAGAUUCGUAAACGGAGAGCUUCUCAGACACUCUUGAGAGACGCUCUGAGAUGUAGCAAAUCAAAUGAAUUUAUAGAGAAAUUAAAAAAAAAAAAAAAAAAAAUUCUCUUUAAAAAUAAUAAAAGUCAAAGAGGAGUAAAAUUAGAGGCUUGAUUUUGAAAAACCCUUUUCCGUUG